UCCUCGAUCUGCUGCGGGCAGAUGAAAUGGAUGUGGCUGUCGAAGCCGCCGGCGGUGAUGAUCUUGCCCUCGCCGGCGAUCACCUCCGUGCCCGGCCCGACCACGAUGUCGACGCCCGGCUGCACGUCCGGAUUGCCCGCCUUGCCGACCUUGUGGAUGCGCCCGUUCAGAAUGCCGAUGUCGGCCUUGAUGAUCCCGGCAUGGUCGAGGAUGACCGCAUUGGUGAUGACGGUGUCGACCGCGCCUUCUGCCCGCGUGGCCUGGCUCUGCCCCAUGCCGUCGCGGA
rnacentral:sRNA from 1 species